AGUAGGGAAUCUUGCGCAAUGGGCGAAAGCCUGACGCAGCCAUGCCGCGUGAAUGAUGAAGGUCUUAGGAUUGUAAAAUUCUUUCACCGGGGACGAUAAUGACGGUACCCGGAGAAGAAGCCCCGGCUAACUUCGUGCCAGCAGCCGCGGUAAUACGAAGGGGGCUAGCGUUGCUCGGAAUUACUGGGCGUAAAGGGAGCGUAGGCGGAUAGUUUAGUCAGAGGUGAAAGCCCAGGGCUCAACCUUGGAAUUGCCUUUGAUACUGGCUAUCUUGAGUAUGGAAGAGGUAUGUGGAACUCCGAGUGUAGAGGUGAAAUUCGUAGAUAUUCGGAAGAACACCAGUGGCGAAGGCGACAUACUGGUCCAUUACUGACGCUGAGGCUCGAAAGCGUGGGGAGCAAACAGGAUUAGAUACCCUGGUAGUCCACGCCGUAAACGAUGAGUGCUAGUUGUCGGCAUGCAUGCAUGUCGGUGACGCAGCUAACGCAUUAAGCA
rnacentral:rRNA from 1 species